rnacentral:lncRNA from 1 species
AGGUGGCCGGUCGGGCUGGAAGGGCGGGGAUGAGGGAUGGGACGCAUCCCCGGGGGAUGCUCCUCCAAAGCUUUUAUCGGGCGAGCGCAGUGGCUCACGCCUGUAAUUCCUGCACUUUGGGAGGCUAAGGAUGAAAGGCUUCCUAGCACAAACACCACCCCUGGAGUUCCCGGUACAUCAAUACCAGCCUGGGGAUCACGUUCUCAUCAAGAGUUGGAAGAGGGAAAGCUUGAACCAGCUUAGGAGGACCUCAUCUGGUACUCUUGAUGAAUGAAACAGCAAUCUGAAUGGCUGAAAAAGGAUGGACCCAGCACUCCAGAGUCUCACACUGUCACCAGGCUGGAGUGCCGUGGCGCAAUAUCAGCUCACUGUAACCUCCACCUCCCAGGUUGAAGUGAUUCUCCCAUCUCAGCCCCCAAGUAGCUGGGACUACAGGUGAGUGCCACCACACCCAGCUAAUUUUUGUAUUUUUAGUAGAGAUGGGGGUUCACCAUGUUGCCCAAAAUGGUCUCAAUCUCUUGGCCUCGUGAUCCAACCAUCUCAGCCUCCCAAAGUGCUGGGUUUAAAGGCAUGAGCCACUGUGCCUGGCCCAGAAUUCUUUACUGCUAACACGAGUGGGCCUGGUUCUGGAGGAUUUCCCAGUGGGUCCUGAAGAACCACAGUUUAUUGGCUUGUGGGCAAAGGGGUAUGUGUAUCAGUUGGCCUUUACUGUGUAAUAAACAGCCACAAAAAUUACUAGCUGAAAACAGCAGCUACUUAAUUAGCAGAAGCCUCUUGAGGAUGGACUUGCAAACCAAAGUUGUGCUGGUUUCUACUGGUCAAAGCAAGGACUGGCUCACAUAAAAAGGAGAGAGAUUGCACCUUCAGAGAGUAAUCUCAAGACAUCUGUAAUCUACCACAGGGUGUCACUGGGCCUCUGUCAAGGAGCCUAUUCUUUCUGCCACCAGAUCUGUCUAAUAGCUUGUGUGACAAUGCACUUCCUUCUGGGUCUCUCUCCAAGUGUAGUAAGUGUAUAUGGGAAUCACUUUAUUCAAACAGUGUAGUGCACUUAGUUAGAAAGAAAAGGUAUUAAGGAAGACUUAUAUUUAAAAUUGUUAUUUAUGGUAACAACGAAAAGUAACAUACAAAUUUCAAACAUCAAGAAUAAAAUAAAUUAAAGGUAUGAUCAAUACACAUCAGUACAAAGAGGGGAACACAAUGAAACAAACAAAAAAAAUUAGAUGCUAGAAAUUAAUCCAAAUUAUUACUAAUUAAAUGUCAGGCACUAAAUGUGCAACAUAAAAGGAUUGUUAAUUGGUAUUAUUCAAGUAUUUUUUCUUUUUUUUUUUUUUUUUGUGACAGAGUUUCACUCUUGUUGCCCAGGCUGCAGUGCAAUGGCGUGAUCUCGGCUCACUGCAACCUCUGCCUCCCGGGUUCAAAUGAUUCUCCUGCCUCAGCCUCCCAAGUAGCUGGCAUUACAGGCAUGCACCACUAGGCACAGCUAAUUUUGUAUUUUUAGUAGAGAUGGGGUUUCUCAGUGUUGGUCAGGCUGGUCUCGAACUCCCGACCUCAGGUGAUCACCUGCCUUGGCCUCCCAAAGUGCUGUGAUUACAGACAUCAGCCACUAUGCCCAGCGGUAUACAGAUUUUUUAAAACUCCAGCUAAAGUAUGUAUAAAAAGACACAUUUUUUUAAAAAGCAUACAGAAAGACUAAGAAGUAGAGGAAAAUCAAGCUGAUGUAACUAUAUAAAUAUCUAACAGAAUUAGUGGAACAGAAAACAUGCAAGAAAUAGUGUAGAUUUUUCAAGCGAAAUAUCUGAAAGAAUUCAUAAACCUGGGUACUCUCUACCAAGAUUAACACAAGCAAAGGGAAAGAAUGCACAAUUAAUAAGUUAUUCCAGAAUGCAAAAGGAGACUGAAGUUAUACAACCAGCAAAAAUGAAAAAUAUAAAAAGUAUAAAUUUUUGCUACACAUUUGGAAAUAAAAACAUGCCUAGAAGAAUAUUCUCAAAAUACUUAUGCAAGCCUUAGUUGUCUUUUUUUUUUUUUUUUUAUGAGAUGGAGUUUUGCUCUUGUCACCCAGGCUGGAGUGCAGUGGCAAGAACUCAACUCACUGCAACCUUCGCCUCCCAGAUUCAAGCAAUUCUCCUGCCUCAGCCUCCCAAGCGGCUGGGAUUACAGGCGCCCGCCAACUCACCUGGCUAAUUUUAUUUUUUGAAUUUUUAGUAGAGACAAAAGUUUCACCGCAUUGGCCAGGCUGGUCUCGAACUCCUGACCUCAGGUGACCCCCUGCCUUGACCUCCCAAAGUGCUGUGAUUAAAGCCGUGAAGCACCGUGCCCAACCUAGUUGUCUUUUUUUUUUUUUUUGAGACGGAUUCUCGCUCUGUCGUCAGGCUGGAGUGCAGUGGUGUGAUCUAGGCUCAUUGAAACCUCCACUUCAGGGGUUCAAGAGAUUCUCCUGCCUCAGCCUCCUGAGUAGCUGGGAUUACAGGGGCACAAUACCGUGCCCAGCUAAUUUUUGUAUUUUUAGUAAAGACGGGGUUUCAACAUGUUGGCCAGGAUGGUCUUGAUCUCUUGACCUCAUGAUCUGCCUGCCUCAGCCUCCCAAAGUGGUGGGAUUACAGGCAUGAGCCACCACUCCCAGCCUGAUAACUGUUUUAUUUAUUUAUUUUUAUUUUUUUGGAGAUAUGGGGUCUGUGUUGCCCAGACUGAUCUUGAACUCCUGGCCUCAAGGAAUCCUUCUGACUGAGCUUCCCAGUGUGCUGGGAUUAAAAGUGUGAGCCACUAUGACCAGCCAGAAGAGAUAAUUUUAACUUUUUAAAAUAUUUUGCAGUAUUGGCCGGGCACAGUGGCUUGUGCCUGUAAUCCCAGUACUUUGGGAGUAUGAGGCAUGCAGAUCACCUGAGGUCAGGAGUUUGAGACCAGCCUGGCCAACUUGAUGAAACCGUCUCUACUAAAAAUACAAAAAUCAGCCAGGCAAGGUGGAGGCUGUCUGUAAUCUCAGCUACUCGGGAGGCUGAGGCAGGAGAACCACUGGAACCCAGGAGGUGGAAUUUGCAGUAAGUUGAGAUCACACCAUUGCACUCCAGCCUGGGCAACGAGUGAAACACUAACUCAAAAACAAAGAAACAAACACCAACUCAAAAACAAAGAAACAAACCAAAAAAAUGAAAAUAUCUUGUAGUAUUUUUAAAUAGAGAUGUGGUUUCGCUAUGUUGCCCAGGCUGGUUUGAACUCCUUGGCUCAAGGGAUCUUUUUGCCUCAGCCUCCAAAAGUGCUGGGAUUACAGGCCUGAGCCACUAUUCCCAACCUAGAUGACUCUUAUAGAUUAAGAAUUUAGAAAUAGUAGGAACAUGCCCCACUACAGUAUAUGACAGUCAUUAUAUACAAAUAUCAUUAAGGGACAAUUUUUUAAAAAUCACAAUGUUAUUCAAACAUAGCUCCAUAACAUAUUAGUAAAGGUCAUGAAGUAUUUUUAAGUGAUCCAUUAUGUCACAGUCGAGCUUAUCCAGGAAUACAAGGUUGAUGUAACAUUGGAAAAGCAAUAAAUACAAAUACCACAUUUAUUUAAUUUAAUUUAUUUAUUUUUGACAGAGUCGCACCCUGUCACCCAGCAUGGAGUGCAGUGGUGCAAUCUUGGCUCAAUGCAACCUCCACCUCCCAGGUUCAAGUGAUUCUCCUGCUUCAGCCUCCCAAGUAGCUGGGAUUACAGGUGCACAUCACCACACCCAGCUAAUUUUUGUAUUGUUAGUAGAGAUGGGGUUUCACCAUGUUGGCUGGGCUGGUCUCGAACUCUUGACCUCAAAUGAUCUGCCCACCCCCACCUCCCAAAUUGCUGGGAUUACAGGCAUAAGCCCCCACACCCAGCCUGACCACAUUUGUUUUAGAAAAGCGCCUUUCCAUGCAUUCACUUCUUCAAGUUUUUUUUUUGUUUUGUUUUUGUUUUUUUUUUUGAGAUGGGGUCUUGCUAUGUUGCCUAAGCUGGUCUAGAACCCCUGGGCUCAGGCCACCCUCCCAAGUAGCUAAAACUAUAGGCAUGCAUCACCACAUCAUUUCAUUGAAGUAUUUAUUAGGUACCAUCAUGAGCUAGGUGCAGUUCUAGGUAUUGAGUUUUAUCAGUAAAUAAACAUGAUCAUCACAGAGGAUGUGAAGGAAGCAUUUAAUAAAUUCAAGAGGAAUUCAGCCUCAUAAACUAUGAAAUAUUGGGAAAUAAUUCAUCAUGUAAAAACUGGAUAUAAAGAAAAAACUUUUCCUGCAGGACAUUGUUGCAGGAAGUCAGGGACCCCAAACGGGGGGACUGGCUGAAGCCAUGGCAGAAAAACAUGGAUUGUGAAGGUUUCAUGGACAUUUAUUAGUUCCCCAAAUUAAUACUUUUAUAAUUUCUUAUGCCUGUCUUUACUGCAAUCUCUAAACAUAAAUUGUAAAGAUUUCAUGGACACUUAUCACUUCCCCAGUCAAUACCCUUGUGAUUUCCUAUGCCUGUCUUUACUUUAAUCUCUCAAUCCUGUCAGCUGAGGAGGAUGUAUAUUACCUCAGGACCCUGUAAUAAUUGCAUUAACUGCACAAAUUAUACAGCAUGUGUGUUUGAGCAAUAUGAAAUCUGGGCACCUUGAAAAAAGAACAGGAUAACAGCAAUGUUUAGGAAACAAGAGAGAUAACCUUAAAUUCUGACCGCCGGUGAGCCAGGUGGAACAAAGCCACAUUUCUCUUCUUUCACAAGCAAAUGGGAGAAAUAUCACUGAAUUCUUUUUCUCAGCAAGGAACAUCCUUGAGAAAGAGAAUGCACACCUGGGAGUGGGUCUCUGAACUGGCCCCCCUGGGUGUAGCCAUCUCUUAUGGUCGAGACUGCAGGGGUGAAAUAGACCCCAGUCUCCCAUAGCACUCCCAGGCUUAUUAGGAAGAGGAAAUUCCCACCUAAUAAAUUUUAGUCAGACCAGUUGAUCUCAAAACCGUCUCCUGAUAAGAUGUUAUCAAUGACAAUGGUGCCCAAAACUUCAUUAGCAAUUUUAAUUUCACCUUGGUCCUGUGAUCUCGCCCUGCCUCCACUUGCCUUGUGAUAUUCUAUUACCUUGUAAAGUACUUGAUGUCUGUGACCCACACCUAUUUGCACACUCCCUCCCCUUUUGAAAAUCCCUAAUAAAAACUUGCUGGUUUUUGCGGCUUGUGGGGCAUCACGGAACCUACCGACAUGUGAUGUCUGCCCCGGACACCCAGCUUUAAAAUUUCUCUCUUUUGUACUCUGUCCCUUUAUUUCUCAAGUUGGCUGACACUUAGGGAAAAUAGAAAAGAACCUAUGUGAAUAUCGGGGCUGGUUCCCUGACAGGACAUAACCUCUUCAAAAAAUAAAAAAGAAAUAAAAGCCUACAGCCAAACCAACAAAAUAGAGUGCAUAUCUCACCAGAACUGCAAAGACAAGUAUGCUGGUAUUACUACUUUUAGUUGGUGUUGUGCAGCGGGUUAAAAUCAGUCCAGUAAAGCAAGAAAAUAUUUAGAGAGAGCUUCAUCAUCAUACGAAUUUUGGGGGUCAUUGUUCAGUCCAAAGUACUUAAUAUGAUUCUUUUCUCUUUCCACAUAGAGAAUCAGAUAAUCUAUAAAUAAUGACUCUUACUGUUCCACUUUAGGAGUUAGGUAUACAUACAUAUGUGUAUAUAUAUGUAUAUAUAUAUACACAUACACACACACACACACACACACACAGUGACCCCCCAAAUUUCAUAUGAAGUUCCAAACCUCAAUGUGACUGUAUGUGAAAAGAGAAGGGGGCGGGGAGGGGGGAGACCGACCGACCUAUUUGUUGGUCUCCAUCGUGUGAAAACAUGAGGAAGUGGGCACUUACAUGCCAGGAAGAGAGCUCUCACUAGAGGUUGACCAUGCUGGCACUCUGAUCUCAGACUUCCAGCCUCCAGAUAUGUGAGAAUAUAAAUUUGUGUUUUGGGCCAGAUACGGUGGCUCAGGCCUGUAAUCCCAGCACUUUGGGAGGCCAAGGCAGGUGGAUCACCAAAGGUCAGAUCUGACCAACAUGGAGAUCAGCCUAACCAACAUGGAGAAACCCUGUCUCUACUAAAAAUACAAACUUAGCUAAGGUUUGUGGUGCAUGCCAAUAAUCCCAGCUACUGAGGGUGAGGCAGGAGAAUCACUGGAACUCAGGAGGUGGAGGUUGCGGUGAGCCAAGAUCAUACCAUUGCACUCCAGCCUGGGCAACAAGAGCAAAACUCCAUCUCAAAAAAAAAAAAAAAAAAAAAAAAAAAAUCCUGUGUUUUUAACCUCAUUGAUUUAAAAUUAAAUUAAUUUCUAAGCCAUUUGGUCUGCGGUAUUCUCUUAUGGUUGUCUGAGCUGACUAAGGCAGAUAUUGGUACUGAGAAGUGAGGUACUGCAAUUAAAAACAAACAAAAAAACUAAAAAUGUGAAGCAGCUUUGAAACUGACAAAUGAGUAGAGGCUGGAAAAAUUCUGAUGUGCAAGCUGGAAAUAAGGUUGGUAAGGGUUAUUCUGGUGAGGUGUCAUUGGGGAAUGAGGAACAUGCUAUUGGGAAAUGAAGAAAAGACAACCCUUGAUAUAAAGUGGUGAAGAACUUGGCAGAACUGUAUUCUAGCAUUUUACGGAAGGUAGAGCUUGAGACAGAUAAAAUGGUAUGUAUCACUAAGAUCUGUAAUUAAAGUGUUAAAGGACACAGGAAGCUUCAUUAUUCCUGAGUGCUUACAGGAAAAUGUGCUGGGAACAGGCCCCCCAAAUCUGGCCAUAAACAGGCAAUGAGAAACUGGCCAUAAACAAAAUCUCUGCAGCACUGUGACAUGCUCGUGAUGGCUAUGACGCCCAUGCUGGAGGCUGCUGGUUUACCAGAAUGAGGGCAAGCAACACCUGGCCCACCCAGGGCAGAAAACUGGAAAACUGCUCAAGGCAUUCCUAAACCACAAACAAUAGCAUGAGUGAUUUGUGCCUUAAGGACAUAUUCCUGUUGCAGAUAACAAGCCAGAGCCUGUCCCUUUCUUUCUCAUAAGGAAUACUUAUAGCUGAUCUACAAUCUAUAGGAAUAAUGUUUAUCACAGGCUUACUGUCAAUAAAUAUGUGGGUCAAACUCUGUUCAAGCUCAGCUCUGAAGGCUGUGAGCCCCGAUUCCCACUCUGCACUAUAUUUCUGUGUCUUUGUCUUAAUUCCUCUAGAGCCACUGGGUUAGGGUCUCCACGACCCAGCUGGUCUCGGCAAAAAUGCAAAAGGAGACCUGAAUUGCAGAAGAAAUUGUUAAGGAAAAAGGAACCAGAACUUGGAGAUUUGGAAAAUUCUCAGCCUAUCCAUACUGCAAAAAUUAGAAAACUUGUACUGAAGAGAAUCCUCAAAGUGUGGCUGAACAAUCAUUUGAUAAAGAGAUCAUGAGUGGGAUUCAUGGACUAUAUCAGCCAUCUUAACAGAAGUGAGAAGAGAGACUGGAUUAUACUAUAAGAGACACUGCCACUUACAUUGUGCCACCUAAAAUGGACAGAGAAGACAGAACAGAACAGUCAAGGUUGUCACACUUCUUAUUUUACAAGAAGGGGACAUAGAAAUAAUCAGCUGUGAAAGGGCACUGGCAGUUAUGGAUGGUUUCACUCCUGACAUGCUCUGCAGGAUCCAUGGGAACAGAAGAGAACCUUGGAGGAGCAUCUUUUUAACAAUCCACCUCUGGGGCCUACAUCAUCUUGGCUUCUGGUAAAUUUUGACAUGAAUGUGCCACACUGGCAGCCACUAACCAACAGGGGCUGGGAUCAAUCUGCAUGAUUUAUCUCGUACAGAACUUGUUAAUGCUAUGAUCUUAGGAAUCUAAUCACCAAGGUGAGGCAGCCUGCAGUACUGACCUCACCAUCCAUGACCCUUCUUCACAGAUGCCCAGACUCAGGUAACCAUGAUGUUGUAUUCAGAACCUGUAGGUUUAAUUUCAGACCCUCGGGAUGCAUCUAAGGCCAAUCUGUGAGCCAUUACAACCUCCAAAAGGCAUUUAGGACUAAUCUGAUGAUCUUUGCACUGCCAAUAAUUAAAGAUGGCAACCAAUGGGCUAAAUGGUAACAACACUCAUAUCCUUACAUUCAUAGUAUUUCUCCCCAGUGUGAAUUCUUUCAUGCAUACUUAGGCAUGAGGAAAGAGCAAAUGCUUUCCCAAAUUCUUUACAUACAAAAGGUUUCUCUCUGGUAGGAGUUCACAGGUGGGGUGAGGAAUACAGAAAUUCUUUCCCACAUAUCUUGCAUUUACCUUUCUCCACUGUGAGUUUUCAAAUGUUUACUACGAUGGGAAGAAGUAAUGAAGGUCUUCCCACAUUCAACACAUUCAUAAGGCUUCUCUCCUGUGUGAAUUCUUCUAUGUUGAGUAAGCGUUGAAGAUCUAUUGAAGGCUUUCCCACAUUCCUUACACUGAUAGGGUUUCUCUCCAGUGUGAUUUCGUAUGUGUAUAGCAAGGCCCGUGUACUGAGUGAAGGCUUGGCCACAUUCCUUACAUUCAUAGGGUUUUAUUCCAGUGUGAGUUCUUACAUGUUGAGUAAGGUGAGUUGAUCUAGUGAAGGCUUUCCCACAUUCCGUACAUUUGUGUGGUUUUAUUCCAGUGUGAAUUUGAAUGUGAACAUUAAAGGAUGAGGAAUUUCUAAAGGAUCUUCCACAUUCUUUACAUUCAAAGGACUUCUCUCCUUUAUGAGUUUUUGCAUGUGCAGAAAGUUGAGAAAAAUUAGUGAAGGAUUUCCCACAGUUCUUAGUCUUUUCGGAUUUCUUUCCAGUAUGAACUGCUACACACUGCUUUAAGUGUGAGGAAGUUGUGAUGGCUCUCUCACAUUCCUGAAAUUCACAGAGUUUCUCUCCAAUGUGGAUUCCCAUGUGAUUAUCAAGGCUUGCAAAAUACUUAAAGCCUUUUCCACAUUCCUUACAUUUGUAGGGUUGUCUUCCAUUGAGAAUUUCAAGAUGCACAGCAAGGCCUGGAGUUAAGGUGAAGACUUUUCCACAUGGAUUAAAUUUGGAAAGUUCUUGUCCAAUAGAGGCUUCCUUGUGCACACUGAUGCUGUCUUUUCCAUAACAAUUACCCUCAAAAGUGUUCCCUCCAUUCUGAGCUCUCAUGUGUGUCUUAAGGCAAAACUGUUCACUGAAGACCUCUCCACAAUUCUCACAGAGUUUCCAUCCACUGUAGCUUCUUGUCUGCUGAUGAGGGGAUAAAGGAUUUAAAAUGUUUUCAGACAUAUUAAGAGAUUUCACCCAUCUGAACACAGAAACAUUAUUUUGAUGACAAUUAUUUUACUUUUUAAUGUUUAAUUUUUUUUUUUUUUUUGAGACAGAGUCUUGUUCUAUCUCCCAGUCUACAGUGCAGUGGCACAAUCUCUGCUAACUGCAACCUUCACCUCCCAGG